rnacentral:rRNA from 1 species
GACGUAGGGGGCCAGCGUUGUUCGGAAUUACUGGGUGUAAAGGGUUCGUAGGCGGUGCGGCAAGUCGGGAGUGAAAUCUCUGGGCUUAACCCAGAGGCUGCUUCCGAAACUGCUGUGCUUGAGUGUGGGAGAGGCGCGUGGAAUUGCAGGUGUAGCGGUGAAAUGCGUAGAUAUCUGGAGGAACACCGGUGGCGAAGGCGGCAUCCUGGACCGAUAUUGACGCUGAGGAGCGAAAGCUAGGGGAGCAAACGGG